rnacentral:tRNA from 1 species
GCGGAUGUGGCGGAAUUGGUAGACGCGCACGGUUCAGGUCCGUGUCUGGGCAACCAGGUGGAGGUUCGAGUCCUCUCAUCCGCA